GGUUGGUUAGCUCAGUUGGUUAAAGCGUGGUGCUAGUAAUGCCAAGGUUGUGGGUUCAAUUCCCACAUUAUUUA